rnacentral:rRNA from 1 species
AUACGUAGGGAGCGAGCGUUGUCCGGAAUUACUGGGCGUAAAGGGCGCGUAGGCGGCGCUUCAAGUCGUCUGUCAAAUGGGAGGGCUUGACCCUUUUUCGCAGACGAAACUGGAGAGCUUGAGAAGCAGAGAGGCAAACAGAAUUCCUGGUGUAGCGGUGAAAUGCGUAGAUAUCAGGAAGAAUACCAGUGGCGAAGGCGGUUUGCUGGCUGCAUACUGACGCUGAAGCGCGAAAGCCAGGGGAGCAAACGGGAUUAGAUACCCCGGUAGUCCUGGCAGUAGACGAUGUAUGCUGGGUGUGAGACUAGCGAUAGUUUCGUGCCGAAGUUAACGCGAUAAGCAUACCGCCUGGGGAGUACGGUCGCAAGAUUGAAACUCAAAUGAAUUGACGGGG